AAACCAACAGGGAUUGCCUUAGUAGCGGCGAGUGAAGCGGCAAAAGCUCAAAUUUGAAAUCUGGCUCUUUCAGAGUCCGAGUUGUAAUUUGAAGAAGGUAUCUUUGGGUCUGGCUCUUGUCUAUGUUUCUUGGAACAGAACGUCACAGAGGGUGAGAAUCCCGUGCGAUGAGAUGAUCCAGGCCUAUGUAAAGUUCCUUCGAAGAGUCGAGUUGUUUGGGAAUGCAGCUCUAAGUGGGUGGUAAAUUCCAUCUAAAGCUAAAUAUUGGCGAGAGACCGAUAGCGAACAAGUACAGUGAUGGAAAGAUGAAAAGAACUUUGAAAAGAGAGUGAAAAAGUACGUGAAAUUGUUGAAAGGGAAGGGCUUGAGAUCAGACUGGUAUUUUGUAUGUUACUUCUUCGGGGGUGGCCUCUACAGUUUAUCGGGCCAGCAUCAGUUUGGGCGGUAGGAGAAUUGCGUUGGAAUGUGGCACGGCUUCGGUUGUGUGUUAUAGCCUUCGUCGAUACUGCCAGCCUAGACUGAGGACUGCGGUUUAUACCUAGGAUGUUGGCAUAAUGAUCUUAAGUCGC
rnacentral:rRNA from 1 species